GACGUAGGGCGCGAGCGUUGUUCGGAAUUACUGGGCGUAAAGGGCUCGUAGGCGGCCAACUAAGUCAGACGUGAAAUCCCCAGGCUCAACCUGGGAACUGCGUCUGAUACUGGAUGGCUUGAAUCCGGGAGAGGGAUGCAGAAUUCCAGGUGUAGCGGUGAAAUGCGUAGAUAUCUGGAGGAAUACCGGUGGCGAAGGCGGCAUCCUGGACCGGCAUUGACGCUGAGGAGCGAAAGCCAGGGGAGCAAACGGG
rnacentral:rRNA from 1 species